GACGAACGCUGGCGGCGCGCCUAACACAUGCAAGUCGAACGAGCGAGAGGAGGUUUACUUUCUCAAGCGAGUGGCGAACGGGUGAGUAACGCGUGAGGAACCUGCCUCAAGAGGGGGACAACAGUUGGAAACGACUGCUAAUACCGCAUAAGCCCACGACCCGGCAUCGGGUAGAGGGAAAAGGAGCAAUCCGCUUUGAGAUGGCCUCGCGUCCGAUUAGCUAGUUGGUGAGGUAAUGGCCCACCAAGGCGACGAUCGGUAGCCGGACUGAGAGGUUGAACGGCCACAUUGGGACUGAGACACGGCCCAGACUCCUACGGGAGGCAGCAGUGGGGAAUAUUGCACAAUGGGGGAAACCCUGAUGCAGCGACGCCGCGUGGAGGAAGAAGGUCUUCGGAUUGUAAACUCCUGUUGUUGAGGAAGAUAAUGACGGUACUCAACAAGGAAGUGACGGCUAACUACGUG
rnacentral:rRNA from 1 species